rnacentral:rRNA from 1 species
AGAUUAAGUUAUUAAGGGCGCACGGUGGAUGCCUUGGCACUAGAAGCCGAUGAAGGACGUUACUAACGACGAUAUGCUUUGGGUAGCUGUAAGUAAGCAUUGAUCCAGAGAUUUCCGAAUGGGGAAACCCAGCACAAGUUAUGUUGUGUUAUCGACAUGUGAAUACAUAGCAUGUUAGAAGGCAGACCCGGAGAACUGAAACAUCUUAGUACCCGGAGGAAGAGAAAGAAAAAUCGAUUCCCUGAGUAGCGGCGAGCGAAACGGGAAGAGCCCAAACCAAUAAGCUUGCUUAUUGGGGUUGUAGGACACUCUAUACGGAGUUACAAAGGAAUAUAUUAGACGAAUCAUCUGGAAAGAUGAAUCAAAGAAGGUAAUAAUCCUGUAGUUGAAAAUAUAUUCUCUCUUGAGUGGAUCCUGAGUACGACGGAGCACGUGAAAUUCCGUCGGAAUCUGGGAGGACCAUCUCCUAAGGCUAAAUACUCUCUAGUGACCGAUAGUGAACCAGUACCGUGAGGGAAAGGUGAAAAGUACCCCGGAAGGGGAGUGAAAGAGAACUUGAAACCGUGUGCUUACAAGUAGUCAGAGCCCGUUAAUGGGUGAUGGCGUGCCUUUUGUAGAAUGAACCGGCGAGUUACGAUUUGAUGCAAGGUUAAGCAGGAAAUGUGGAGCCGUAGCGAAAGCGAGUCUGAAUAGGGCGUUGAGUAUUUGGUCGUAGACCCGAAACCAGGUGAUCUACCCUUGGUCAGGUUGAAGUUCAGGUAACACUGAAUGGAGGACCGAACCGACUUACGUUGAAAAGUGAGCGGAUGAACUGAGGGUAGCGGAGAAAUUCCAAUCGAACUUGGAGAUAGCUGGUUCUCUCCGAAAUAGCUUUAGGGCUAGCCUCAAGUGAUGAUUAUUGGAGGUAG